AAGAAUUUAAAUUUUAUGUUAAUAUUUAAAAUAAUAACAGUAGUGAAAAAAUUUGUUGGGAUUAAAAUUAAUCUACCCUGAACAAGUAAGAUGGAUAAAAGUUAAAAAUUAUAGAAUCAAACAGAAGUGAAUUAAUACUUUCUUUAGGGUAGGCAAUUAUCAUUACAUAGGAUUAAAAAUUUUAA
rnacentral:lncRNA from 1 species